rnacentral:rRNA from 1 species
UACAGAGGGGGCGAAGCGUUGUUCGGAAUUACUGGGCGUAAAGGGCGCGUAGGUGGCCUUCUAAGUUGAACGUGAAAUCCCUGGGCUCAACCCAGGAACUGCGUCCAAGACUGGGAGGCUUGAAUCCGGGAGAGGGAUGCGGAAUUCCAGGUGUAGCGGUGAAAUGCGUAGAUAUCUGGAGGAACACCGGUGGCGAAGGCGGCAUCCUGGACCGGUAUUGACACUGAGGCGCGAAAGCCAGGGGAGCAAACGGG